GGUAAAAUGGCUGAAUUAUAGGCGAUAAACUGUAAAUUUAUUUAUGAAAAAUUUUUUCUUUUACCA
rnacentral:tRNA from 1 species